rnacentral:tRNA from 1 species
GCUUCUGUAGUGUAGUUCGGUCAAACUUACUCUUUUCUUAUUACAGAAAAAAGGAUUAUGCAUGCGAGGCUCUCACCCUCGUGUCCCGGGUUCGAAUCCCGGCAGAAGCA